rnacentral:rRNA from 1 species
AGAGUUUGAUCCUGGCUCAGAUUGAACGCUGGCGGCAUGCUUUACACAUGCAAGUCGAGCGGCAGCGCGGGGGCAACCCUGGCGGCGAGCGGCGAACGGGUGAGUAACACAUCGGAACGUGUCCCGUAGUGGGGGAUAGCCCGGCGAAAGCCGGAUUAAUACCGCAUAUGCUCUACGGAGGAAAGCGGGGGAUUCGCAAGAACCUCGCGCUAUGGGAGCGGCCGAUGUCCGAUUAGCUUGUUGGUGAGGUAAAGGCUCACCAAGGCGACGAUCGGUAGCUGGUCUGAGAGGAUGAUCAGCCACACUGGGACUGAGACACGGCCCAGACUCCUACGGGAGGCAGCAGUGGGGAAUUUUGGACAAUGGGGGAAACCCUGAUCCAGCCAUGCCGCGUGAGUGAAGAAGGCCUUCGGGUUGUAAAGCUCUUUUGGCCGGAAAGAAAAGAUCUCGUCUAAUACACGAGGUUCUUGACGGUACCGGCAGAAUAAGCACCGGCUAACUACGUGCCAGCAGCCGCGGUAAUACGUAGGGUGCGAGCGUUAAUCGGAAUUACUGGGCGUAAAGAGUGCGUAGGCGGUUCUUUGUGUCCGCUGUGAAAUCCCCGGGCUUAACCUGGGAAUGGCAGUGGAAACUAGAGGACUUGAAUCCGGCAGAGGGGGGUGGAAUGCCACGUGUAGCAGUGAAAUGCGUAGAUAUGUGGCGGAACACCGAUGGCGAAGGCAGCCCCCUGGGCUGAGAUUGACGCUCAGGCACGAAAGCGUGGGGAGCAAACAGGAUUAGAUACCCUAGUAGUCC